AAAAAAAAUCAACCCUAAACCGGCCGCCGUCUCUCCCCUUCCCAAUUCUUCUUCUUCUUCUCCUCCUGCCGCAGCAGCCUUCUUCUCCGCCCCGGCUUUCGUCUUUGCCUCUCCUGUUACAUUUUGUCUUCGUAUUUGUCUUCGCUCGCCGUUUCCGUCACCGUCGCCUUCAUCUUCAUCUUCAGCGCCGUCGCCGUCGUAUCCUAUUUCAGUCUGACAAUAAGUUGGGAUGAAAUGGCUACAAUUACAGAAGGGACCCGAAGAAAAAAUCACGGCCUCAAUUGGUGAAGUUGGACAAGGCAUUUAAAUUGUUGCAGCAGGAGCUUAAGAUGAAGAAGAUAAAAGCGAAAAUGAACAACUUCAAGGAUCCAAAUGAACAACCUGUAGUGGAGCCGAGUAAAUCAUCUCCAAAACGCAAAAGAAUGGGAAGUGAGAUUGAUGAAAUUUUCGCCAAAAAGAAAAGGGAAGGACCUGAAAAGGAGGGUAAAGACACCAAUACAAUA